AGUGAACGCUGGCGGUAGGCCUAACACAUGCAAGUCGAACGGCAGCACAGUAAGAGCUUGCUCUUACGGGUGGCGAGUGGCGGACGGGUGAGGAAUACAUCGGAAUCUACUUUUUCGUGGGGGAUAACGUAGGGAAACUUACGCUAAUACCGCAUACGACCUACGGGUGAAAGCAGGGGAUCUUCGGACCUUGCGCGAUUGAAUGAGCCGAUGUCGGAUUAGCUAGUUGGCGGGGUAAAGGCCCACCAAGGCGACGAUCCGUAGCUGGUCUGAGAGGAUGAUCAGCCACACUGGAACCGAGACACGGUCCAGACUCCUACGGGAGGCAGCAGUGGGGAAUAUUGGACAAUGGGCGCAAGCCUGAUCCAGCCAUACCGCGUGGGUGAGGAAGGCCUUCGGGUUGUAAAGCCCUUUUGUUGGGAAAGAAAAGCAGCAGGUUAAUACCCCGCUGUUCUGACGGUACCCAAAGAAUAAGCACCGGCUAACUUCGU
rnacentral:rRNA from 1 species